rnacentral:tRNA from 1 species
AGGAUAAUAGUUUAAUAAAAACAUUUAAGUUGCAUUUAAAAAAUAUUGGAUCAAUUUAUCUUU